rnacentral:rRNA from 1 species
AGUGAACGCUGGCGGUAGGCCUAACACAUGCAAGUCGAACGGCAGCACAGUAAGAGCUUGCUCUUACGGGUGGCGAGUGGCGGACGGGUGAGGAAUACAUCGGAAUCUACUUUUUCGUGGGGGAUAACGUAGGGAAACUUACGCUAAUACCGCAUACGACCUACGGGUGAAAGCAGGGGAUCUUCGGACCUUGCGCGAUUGAAUGAGCCGAUGUCGGAUUAGCUAGUUGGCGGGGUAAAGGCCCACCAAGGCGACGAUCCGUAGCUGGUCUGAGAGGAUGAUCAGCCACACUGGAACUGAGACACGGUCCAGACUCCUACGGGAGGCAGCAGUGGGGAAUAUUGGACAAUGGGCGCAAGCCUGAUCCAGCCAUACCGCGUGGGUGAAGAAGGCCUUCGGGUUGUAAAGCCCUUUUGUUGGGAAAGAAAAGCAGCAGGUUAAUACCCCGCUGUUCCGACGGUACCCAAAGAAUAAGCACUGGCUAACUUCGUG